rnacentral:miRNA from 1 species
AUAGUACUCCCUCCGUCCCAAAAUAACUGUCUUAAGCUUAAUAUGAUUUUAUACUAGAGCUAGUAUAAAGUUGAGACAGUUAUUUUGGGACGGAGGGAGUACAAU